rnacentral:rRNA from 1 species
UACAGAGGAGCCAAGCGUUGUCCGGAUUGACUGGGCGUAAAGCGCACGCAGGCGGACGCGCGCGUGGGUGUGAAAUCUGGCCGCUUAACGGCCAGGCGCCAUCCCAUACGGCGGGUCUGGAGUGAUGCAGAGGGCGGUGGAAUUGCCGGUGUAGUGGUGAAAUGUGUAGAGAUCGGCAGGAACACCCAGGGGGAAACCAGCCGCCUGGGCAUCGACUGACGCUGAGGUGCGAGAGCGUGGGGAGCGAACAGG